GUCCUGGCAGUAAACGGUGCACGCUUGGUGUGGGAGGGUUCGACCCCUUCCGUGCCGAAGCUAACGCGUUAAGCGUGCCGCCUGGGGAGUACGGCCGCAAGGCUAAAACUCAAAGAAAUUGACGGGGACCCGCACAAGCGGUGGAGCAUGUGGCUUAAUUCGAUGCAACGCGAAGAACCUUACCUGGGCUUGACAUGUAUGUCGUAUCCUGCCGAAAGGCAGGAGUCAGUUCGGCUGGACAUGCACAGGUGCUGCAUGGCUGUCGU
rnacentral:rRNA from 1 species